AUUGAACGCUGGCGGCAGGCCUAACACAUGCAAGUCGAGCGGAUGAAGGGAGCUUGCUCCUGGAUUCAGCGGCGGACGGGUGAGUAAUGCCUAGGAAUCUGCCUGGUAGUGGGGGAUAACGUCCGGAAACGGGCGCUGAUACCGCAUACGUCCUGAGGGAGAAAGUGGGGGAUCUUCGGACCUCGCGCUAUCAGAUGAGCCUAGGUCGGAUUAGCUAGUUGGUGGGGUAAAGGCCUACCAAGGCGACGAUCCGUAACUGGUCUGAGAGGAUGAUCAGUCACACUGGAACUGAGACACGGUCCAGACUCCUACGGGAGGCAGCAGUGGGGAAUAUUGGACAAUGGGCGAAAGCCUGAUCCAGCCAUGCCGCGUGUGUGAAGAAGGUCUUCGGAUUGUAAAGCACUUUAAGUUGGGAGGAAGGGCAGUAAGUUAAUACCUUGCUGUUUUGACGUUACCAACAGAAUAAGCACCGGCUAACUUCGUG
rnacentral:rRNA from 1 species